GAAUCAUUUGGCUGUAGUCUCAAAAGUGAAAAUAACAGCGAAGUUCAAGUUCAUGAUGGCUAUCUGCUGAUGGGUUUCUCUAGAUAACGAUAUUUCAAAAAUGAAUUCUUGUUACAAAUGGCAGACACCGUUUAUUAAAGAGAAGAACCGGGGCGUGCCGAUUGCCAUUUGUUCAACCUACGGGAUUGCUAAGAGGCUAUUUCACCUCUAUACGAUAUAAAGACAAUUUCUGGCGGCAGUGAUGAUUUCGUCGAUUCUGGCAGUUCACACGCUGUCUGCUAUCGGCCCCUCUCGUAUUUGACGUUAUCUGCAAAUGGGCAACCAGUUAAGAUUCCGUGAUGUUUUGGACAUAUCGAGUCUUAUAAACGAUGACAAAAAAAUGAAAUAAACAAUUAUCUUAUUAAACAAAAAUAAAACUGAAGGAAACUAUGUAUGCACAUAUUCUCACAUACAUACUCGUAUGAUCAUACAUCUAUUUUUGUAUAAGUACGUUGUUAGUUUACCUUUUUCCCGGUUACUUUUUCUAUUUUUACUAUUGUAUUUGGAUUCUACUACUGUACCGCAAUACAUUCAAACGGACAUGUAAUAAACAAUAAUUUUACUAUACUUACAUACAUCUGUACAGACAUACCGUGUCUCACAGCCGAAGUGAUGCAGCUGUGUUAGAAAUAGCACAAUAAGUUUUAUUUAAAAUUUAUAUAAAUUUUCCAGUUAAUAGCGGCAGAUAUACCCAUUUCAUUUAUGCUUUAUAAAUUUUAUAUUU